rnacentral:rRNA from 1 species
UGUGUAGGCUGAAAAGUAAGCGUCUUGUGAAAGCCCCCGGCUUAACCGGGGGAUUGCUUGACGAACUGCUUUUCUUGAGGCAAACAGGGGUGCACGGAACUCUUGGUGGAGCGGUGAAAUGCGUAGAUAUCAAGAGGAACGCCGGUGGUGAAAACGGUGCACUGGGUUUGUUCUGACGCUGAGACACGAAAGCGUGGGGAGCGAACG